rnacentral:rRNA from 1 species
GUCUACAGCCAUACCACCCUGAACGCGCCUGAUCUUUGUCUGUGAUCGGAAGCUCAGCAGGGUUGGGCUAGUACUUGGAUGGGAGACCACCUGGGAAUACCGGGUGCUGUAGGCU